rnacentral:rRNA from 1 species
AGUGAACGCUGGCGGUAGGCCUAACACAUGCAAGUCGAACGGCAGCACAGUAAGAGCUUGCUCUUACGGGUGGCGAGUGGCGGACGGGUGAGGAAUACAUCGGAAUCUACUUUUUCUUGGGGGACAACGUAGGGACACUUAUGCUAAUACAGCAUACGUCCUACGGGUUAAAGCAGGGGAUCUUCGGACCUUGCGCGAUUGAAUGAGCCGAUGUCGGAUUAGCUAGUUGGCAGGGUAAAGGCCCACCAAGGCGACGAUCCGUAGCUGGUCUGAGAGGAUGAUCAGCCACACUGGAACUGAGACACGGUCCAGACUCCUACGGGAGGCAGCAGUGGGGAAUAUUGGACAAUGGGCGAAAGCCUGAUCCAGCCAUACCGCGUGGGUGAAGAAGGCCUUCGGGUUGUAAAGCCCUUUUGUUGGGAAAGAAAAGCAGCAGGUUAAUACCCCGCUGUUCUGACGGUACCCAAAGAAUAAGCACCGGCUAACUUCGUG